UGUUUAUUAUGAAUGAAUUGACUUGAAUUCCCCAAUUUUUUUGAAUUUGUAGGUAUUGUUGUGAUUACUGCGAGAUACUUACUUGACGCAUGAUUCUGUUAUACUGAUGGAAGUGCCACCGUAAUGUUAAUCAAUUGUUUCCACACUGCUACUAGUGCUGAAGCGACAAGAUUUAUGCCGCUGCAUCAAUUUCUAGCAAUGGUCAACACAUAUACAUUUUUAUCCACACCCCAACUCUCUAUGCCAUGUACAUUAUGAGUAAGAUGCCACCCACCUUUUCUGUUCUCGUCAAAGCUAAACUUUUGAUGUUGUUUUGAACUACCAUUAUUCAUGUAGAAAUUCAAGAGUCUCCGUGAAACUGUUGAGCAUAAGCAAAGUGGAUUUGUGCCAUUAUCUAAACAUAUUACAACUUAUGGCGUUCAUCCGAUUAUGGCACCAUUGUUUCUGGAACCAUGGUGUAUAAUGUGUACAUAUAUUGUUUUUUGAAGGGCAAGUAAAACUAUCAAUCUUGAUAUGACUCUGCAUUAUUUGCUCUUCUUUUCUAAUAAAAUAAAGUGAAAAACUUAAAAUACAUAUGAUUUGUUCAGG